CCCUUAGAUGUCCUGGGCCGCACGCGCGCUACACUGACGCAUUCAACGAGUUUCUUCCUGGUCCGAGAGGAAUGGGUAACCUUUUGAAAGUGCAUCGUGAUAGGGAUAGACUAUUGCAAUUAUUGGUCUUCAACGAGGAAUUCCUAGUAGACGUAGUUCAUCAGACUGCAUCGAUUACGUCCCUGCCCUUUGUACACACCGCCCGUCGCUCCUACCGAUUGAAUGCUCAGGUGAGCCAUUCGGACUUUCAUCAUGCUGGUUUCCAGUUUUGAUGAAGGAAAGUCUUGCGAACCUUAUCAUUUAGAGGAAGGAGAAGUCGUAACA
rnacentral:rRNA from 1 species